rnacentral:lncRNA from 1 species
AAAUGUUGUCAGAAGACUGAGAAGCUCAGGAGGUGAGCUGCUGGCCCUGGCGAGUAUUUAAGAUGGAGAUGAAUUCGGAAAAGCAAAGCCUGUCUGAGGUGGAGAAAUCAGCAUCGAUCGGGAUUUGCCACAGAACUUCAAGUUAUUUGUGAGCGGCAAUUCAGAUGAGUGCCCCCAGAAUAGUAGCUUUGAAUAUACCAUUUGCUUUCUCCCUCCACUUGUGCUGAACUCUGAACUGCCACCAGAUUAUCCAUCCUCCUUCCCACCUUCAUUCACACUUAGUGGCAAAUUGCUGUCACCAACUCAGCUCUCUGCUCUAUGCAAGCACUUAGACAACCUAUGGGAAGAACACAGUGGCAGUGGGAUCCUGUCUGCCUGGAUGCAGUUUCUUAAGCAAGAGACCCUGGUGCACCCCAAUAUUGUCUCUCCCUCUGAGCUCACGAUAAGUUCUCAGGAAAAAGUGCCGAGAAGGAUAGCUCAAGCCCCUCCCAUCAGAGCUAGAUUUUGGAGGAGCUGCUGGAUCUCAUGUAGAUCAAGAGGAAAUUGUGGAUGAGAGAGCUGUGCAGGAUGUGGAAUCACUGUCAAGUCUGAUCCAGGAAAUCUUGGACUUUGAUCAAGCUUAGCAGAUAAAAUGCUUUAAUAGUAGACUGUUCCUGUACGACAUCUGUUUCUGCGAGAAGCUGGGCAGUGAAUGCAUGUACUUCUUGGAGUGAAGCCUGUGUACUGCAAAGCCUAUCUGAAGGACUGCUUUGAAAUCCAGAUCAGAGAUGGCCAGGUUCAAUGCCUCAACUGCUCAGAACCAAAGUGCCCUUCGGUGGCCACUCCUGGCCAGGUCAAAGAGCCAGCGGAAGCAGAGUUCUCUGCCCGUCAUGGCUGCCUUCUCCUCCCAUCCACCUUGGAGCUGGUGGCAGAUGUGGUGUGCUGCCCCCGCCUGUGGGGGCCUGCAGGGCCUGGCUGUACCACGGGCAUCUGCUCCAGCUGUAACUUUGCCUUCUGUACCUUGUGCAGACUGACCUACCAUGGGGCCUCUCCAUGUAAGGUGAUGGCAGAGAAAUUAACAGACUUACAAAACGAAUACCUGCAAGCAGAUGAGGCCAAGACAAGAUUUCUGUAACAGAGGUAAGGUAAGAGGGUGAGUCAGAGGGCACUGGAAGAGAUGGAAAGAAAGGAGUGGCUAGAAGAGAACUCGAAGAGAUGCCCAUGCUGUGGAAUUCACAUAGAGAAGUGAGGUGGAUGCCAUGUACUGGCUGCAGGCUCUAUUUCUAUUGGGUCGGCAUGGGUUCUCUCUCUAGCAACCCCUUACAAACAUUUCGCCAACCCUACUUCACCGUGUUGUAACCGGCUGUUUCAUGCUUGGAUAUGAAUGGAGACAUUGGGGAAGAUGAGAUUGAAG